rnacentral:lncRNA from 1 species
AGAGAGAGAGAGAGAGAGAGAGAGAGAGAGAGAGAGAAAUCCCGUGGAAGACGACGCAGGGGCACCGGAGAUCCGCUUUAUAAUUCUCGCCGGGGGAAGGCAGCGGCGAAGCAGGAGGCCCGGCGAGUCCGAUGUCGUCGACUUCUUGCGAGCUUUGACUGCUCCUUCCGGAGGGACCUCUUGGGCCUCGCCCCCGUCUCGACAGAUCCACUGUUAUUUUCCAUCCGACGACCGCUGCAGUGCGGUGGAGGUGGAGUACAGUAUGUUCGUCUUUUGAUUAGAUCCCUUCUGAAAUCUCUCGUUUCCUUUCGGGUUUCUGCCCGAUCCGGUCGGUGGAACAAUUCCGGCGAGGUCUGAGCUCGCUCGCCGUCCGCUCGCCCUCGUCUGCGAUUGCGGCGGCUAAUGGAGGUGGAGCCGCCGGGUCUCCUGAGGUACCUCGUUGGAGCUGUGAUUAUGGUGGUGGGAGUGGUGCUCCCGCUCGGCUACAUGAUGUUUCGCAACAAGCGCUCCCCGUCGUCGAGUUCUUAUUUCUCCAAGCAGACGUAGGUGAUUUCCUCUCCCUUUAUUUUCCGUCGCCUCGCCCUUGUGACAUUAUUCCUGAUCCCUUAUUUUUGGUCCUAUGUUCAUCUUAUGCAGGAACAGAGUAGUGAUCUAGAGGGAGCGGGACAACCUUUUAUCUGCGCCGUCAAGUCUCCUCUGCCUUCAAUUGUGUGAGAUUUUUGCUAUAUUUGGCCGGAGAAGGAAGCAGAGGGGGUUUGAAGAAGAAUCAAUCGGUUGUUACAUGAAGCCGUUCAUAAUUUUUGCUUUCCAUAUGCAUAUAUAGAGGAGUUGCUGGGAAAUUGCUUCAUGAUUCGGCUUCAGACCUCCUCCCUCCCUCUAUUUUCUCAAGAAAAUUGCUCUAGAUCGUGGCAAAACAUUUGGAAAUAACUGCUAUUCGGCAAUUCAUCUGAUCUCUCUUUUGCUCUCUGCGUAUUACUACUACACUGUUCUUUCUGAGAUUAUUCUCUACAACACAUAAAUGGUUGACCAAACCGGAGAUUGGACCAUCAUUGUCAUAUUAUUUGCAGUCUGUGCUGAGGCCUUUGUUCGUCCAUUCAGGGUCUUGAUUGUGCCCUCUUUCGCUCUGGUUGGGACACAUCCAUGAUGAUUUAAGUCAACUUUGCUAUUUCCUUUAUGAUCCCGGAUUCGUUUUUUAAUGGAACCCCUUUUUCUACAGUCACUAGAAAAAGAGUGGCUGCCCCAUCUACCCCGAAUUAGCCCAUUACCCAUUAUUUUCAUCAAAAAAUAGUGUGAAUUUCUUAUUAGUUUCCUAUGUUUCUUCAUAAAAUAAGCAACUCACCUUUGAAUGGGCGAGCGGCUGAAAUUUCCUCUUGGCCAGGACUUUGUCUAUGAUAUAAUGGGUCGUUUUAUCAACUUUAGAUAGGUUAGAGAUGCUCAACCCCUCCCCUUAGAGUGCUUAGUAAUGGAGAUCAUGAGAGGCAUAUACUUGCCAUUCACUAACAUACUCUAAUAUAAUGGGUUCUGUUAGUGUUGAAAGAGCGCAGGGGAAGUCGUCAGAUGAUGAGAUUAAGGGGGAAAAUAAAUUCAUGUGCCCGAUAUUUCAGUUGGAGAUGGCAGCUUAUUUUAUGUUUUACGCUGUUUAAGUGAUAUAAUUAGGAUUGGCUUUGGAUUGAGAUUUGGCACCUAAUGAGAAGCCAUUGGCGUCAUAUAAUCACUAAUAUCAUGGAGCUUCAGCUCUUCCAGGAUCUUUCUUUUUUAAAAAAUAAGAUUAAUUUCAACUUUAUCCCAGAAAUGAUCUGUUUAUGAUCAUGGAUCGCAUGGCCUCUGUUUCUCUGUGUCCGUAUGUUUCAGAUCAAUCAUUAGGAAUACUGUUGAUUCAUUCUGUGCAGAUUUCCGUGUACUUUGGUUCAUCAUCAAUGAUCUUGCUCAUCUGGUACCCAUACAAGGAAAAUUUUAAAAAAUCACUGAACUGUUCAUCAAUGGGUUUUUAGAUGAAUCCUGUGAAUUCCUGCGAAAUCUAUCAAGCGCAAGGAAGAGGCUUGGAAGCUAAAACUGAUCAAACUCUCUGGUCCUGACUGGUUUCAGUGAUCUUUGGCCAUAUCAAUUAGUUGGCGUACAAAAAUAAAUGACUCCCAUGAGAAACCACCAUUUUUUCUGAUAUCUGAAAGAUAUUUUUUUUUUCUAUUACAGCCAGCUGAUGGGGAAUAAGACUAAUUGAAGCAAAUGGAUCUUGUUGAUGUAGAAAUUUUUGCUAGAAAGUCAACAAACCUUGUGGUCUGGAUAUGGCCUUUCUCCCCGGUGGAGUGAAAAUAAUGUGAAUCUCUCUGAUCCUUCAUUAAUUUUCUUCUUCAUUUUGUAUGGUAACAAUUAGCUCCAGCCUUUGUUUGACGGCUUAUUACACAAGUAGAUAGAUAGAUAGAUAUAUAAUCCAUAUAUAUAUGGAGGGGCCGGGGUCCAUUUUUUAGGCUCUUCUUGGGCCCGGGCUGAAUCCACGUCGUAAGGAAGGCAAGGUGGUGGGACGAGACUUGGCGAGUCUCAUUUAUUGGUCCCAUUUAAUGAGAUCCUUAUGGAUGAGGCUCUACAUUGUCACAUUUAAUAUGGAUUUUAUUGGCUUUUCUUUCGCCCCAAAUUAAUAAAAAAAAUCAUGUGAUUCAUGUAGAUUGUAUGACGCAAACCUAAGAAAAGCCCAAAAAUGGUGGGUUAGCCCGUUCUGAAAAGGCCCAAAAAUAGAUUAACCUCAAAUAAAUUCAGUCUUAGGUUUUUUAUUAACGAUCGUGUUUAAUAUAUUUUUAAUUUUAUUCUUAAAAAUAAUAUUUCGUGGUGUCUACUUAUUUUGAAUUAAUUUUAUUUUUUUGGGCCCCGAGCC